AAUGAACGCUGGCGGCAGGCCUAACACAUGCAAGUCGAACGGAUCCUUCGGGAUUAGUGGCGGACGGGUGGGUAACGCGUGGGAACAUACCCUUUGGUACGGAAUAGCCUCGGGAAACUGGGAGUAAUACCGUAUGUGGUCGAGAGACGAAAGAUUUAUCGCCAAAGGAUUGGCCCGCGUUGGAUUAGGUAGUCGGUGGGGUAAUGGCCUACCAAGCCGACGAUCCAUAGCUGGUUUGAGAGGAUGAUCAGCCACACUGGGACUGAGACACGGCCCAGACUCCUACGGGAGGCAGCAGUGGGGAAUCUUAGACAAUGGGGGAAACCCUGAUCUAGCCAUGCCGCGUGAUCGAUGAAGGCCUUAGGGUUGUAAAGAUCUUUCAGGUGGGAAGAUAAUGACUGUACCACCAGAAGAAGCCCCGGCUAACUCCGUGCCAGCAGCCGCCGCGGUAA
rnacentral:rRNA from 1 species